rnacentral:antisense_RNA from 1 species
CGGACUCACCAGGAAACGUGACUUUCGUGUCCGACCUCUGCUGUAUCAGGAUUCGAUUCUCGGUGUUAAACAAGACAACGCUGAAGGCUCGGUGCAGCAGCCCUGCAAAGCUUUGUGUCUUAGGUUUCAGCGUGCUGACGUUCUCUGGGCCCUGAAGUCACUGCUGCUGGCUGGUGUGCUGGCCACUUGGUCGUGCUGGCCCGUCUCCCACCGGGUGGACGCCCAGCGAGCUCUGGAUGCUGCGUACGACAAAGACAUGGGGGUUGUUUGGAGUCUGUGAUGUGCUAUUGUCCUCCACAUAAUGGUUUUCUACAAGAAACUAGAGAAGUUUUUCCAGCGCUCUUGGGAGGUGGGCUGUGCCACUCCCUGUCCCACCUGUCCCACCUGGCCCACCAUUACCUGAAGGGAAGCAUGAACAGCCUUUGACGUGGGAGU